GGAAGGAUCAUUCACGCCAAAAAAAAAAAAAAAAAAAAAAAAUAUACUUAUAUUUUUGUUGCCAAAAACAAACAAACAAACAAAAAAGAAAACAUAAAAAUUUUCAACGGUGGAUAUCUUGGCUCCCAUAACGAUGAAGAACGCAGCGAAAUGCGAAACGCAAUGCGAAUUGCAGAAAUCCGCGAGACAUUAGAUCUUCGAACGCAAUCUGCGCUAAGGGAGAAAUUCUUUCAGCAUAUUUGUUUCAGUGUAGUUGAUUAUCAUCUAUUAUAAUCUUAAUGCGGUUGUUUUUUCUCUGAAGAAACUCCCGUUAAAUCGGAGAACACGCGUUCCCAAAACCAUACGAAGUAGUCACUGACAACAGUGAUCUCGUUUAUGGAUUUCUUUGGAGAGCAGCUGAAAAGUGUUCAGACAACAAAAUGACAAAAUCAUUAAUAAUCUAUACCUGAGAUCAAGUAAGGUUACCCGCUGGAGUUAAGCAUAUCAGUAGGCGGAGGAAAAGAAAUUAACAAAGAUUGCCUUAGUAGUGGCGAACGAAGAGGCAAAAGCUCAAUGUUGUAAUCUGGAAUCUACGAUUCCCGAAUUGUAAUCUAAAGAGGCGAGCAAAAGGUAAGGCAAUCGCAUAAGUACUCUGAAAAGGGUCAUCACAGAGGGUGAAAAUCCCGUAGUGGGCGAGAGGCGAACCGAAUGUUAGCACUCAACGAGUCGGGUUAUUUGGGAGUAUAGCCCUAAAUGGGAGAUAAACUUCUUCUAAAGCUAAAUACAGAUGGGAGACCGAUAGCGAACAAGUACUGUGAAGGAAAGAUGAAAAGAACUUUGAAAAGAGGGCUAAAAGACUUGAAACCGUUGAGAAGGAAGCGGUAGAAACGAGUGAUCUGCCAAUGAACGAGCUUAUUGGGAUAACGAAUGUCCAAGGGGGUAACCGAAAGAAGCCGACUUGGACUGAAGUGACCGAUAAGCCCUAACCAUUGGAAGAAGACAGGAUGACGUCUGCGUCUUGGAAUAACGAUUAGUUUCGAUUAAUCGGGAACAAUGACACAAGCGUGAGGGAAUUAUAUUGAUUCUGUCAAAAUGGUUUCGACCGACCCGUCUUGAAACACGGACCAAGGAGUCUAACACUUAUGCGAGUCUGCGAGUGAAAUAAACUCAUAGGCGUAAUGAAAGUGAGUAUAAGAUGCGAAUAAUAAAUUGGCAGCAUCAGCCGUCCAUGAUCUUCUGUGAAAGGCACGAGCAAGAGCAUAAUUGUUAGGACCCCGAGAGAUGGUGAACUAUGCUUGAGUAGGGUGAAGUCAGGGGAAACUCUGAUGGAAGCUCGUAGCGUUACUGACGUGGCAAAUCGUUCGUAGAACUUGAGUAUAGGGGCGAAAGACUAAUCGAACCGUCAAUUUGCUGGUUCCUUU
rnacentral:misc_RNA from 1 species